rnacentral:rRNA from 1 species
AUGCUUGCACGGCGCUUCAUGUCGUUCCUCGCCGCUUGCCCCGUCGCCUUCAGUGGGCUCACCAGACUCUCCCUGCAGAACCUCUGCUUCGGCGACUCCGAUAUCUCGGAUCUCCUCGGCACCUGCAGUCGACUAGAGCUGCUCUCCUUGAGCCAGUGUGGCUCUAGCUCCGAAGACAUGCUACUACGCAUAGACGCUCCGACAUCUUCGUUCCGGACCUUGGAAAUCCGCGAGCCUUUCUUCCAUGGAGUCGAGCUGACCAAUGUGCCGAAACUGGAGCGGCUUUUCUGCGACGAAGACGUCGUUAGCUUUCACGGGAGCUGCCCAGCAGUGCGGUUUGGACAUGUUCCUUGCCUUGAUGACGUAUACCUCUCAACGAUACAUCUGCGUUACUACUAUGAAAAUCCAAGAGAGCUCUUCCCCGCCUUCAGUAACCUCAGAGCUAUUUAUCUCAACAACUUGGGAACUCACAGACUGGUGGGGACUCUUUUCAUCCUACAAGCCGCACCUUUGCUGAACAAACUCUCUAUUAAGCUAUACCAGCCUUUUUUUAUUCCCCCGGAUCGCUAUGACUACAAUACCAACACGGAGGGGGAAACACCAAAAUUUGAGCAUCGCAACUUGAGCUUCCUGGAGUUGAAAGGCUAUGCUGGGCUUAGAGAAGACAUCAAGGUGGUGCGAUACAUCUGGCUCGUCACGGAGCGUGCCGCGUGCCUGAAGAAAAUCCACUUACUUGAACAAUGUCCGCUUCGAAAUUGCUAUGGUGCUAGAUGUGCAUGUCAUGUCGAUGAGCCACAUACGACUCUAUUAAGCGAGGCACUCUCUAGUAGAGCAGCUUCGUCUCCAGAGAUAACCGUAGAAUUAAUCAAUGUCCCAUGUUGA